UCUCGUGAAAGCCUAGCAGCCCCUCUUCUCGAAAUUUCUCUUGUCGACCUCUUCCUCACGCCCCAAUCUCUCUCUCUCUCUCUCUAUCUCUCCCCCGCCAACGUCGGCGACUACUGCGACUCAGUGCCGAUCAGCCAAACGCACUGCCACUUUUCUUUUCCUUGUAAAUCCUCUUCUCUCCCUUCCAGAACUCCUCUAAUUAUUCUGACAGAAUCUUCCUCAAGAAGGCAAGCCCCAAAAGAGCUGCGGUGAGUCCGAUUAGGUGGAGAAAGAGUCGAAGAAACAAGAGGAAGGAAUUGUGGUUAAUAAAAAAUUCAAAGGUUUGAAAUCUGCUCAGAUCAUUCAAUUCAGUUCAUUGCUUGGAUCAUUACUUAAACCUGUUUCUAAUAAUUCAAAGCCUAAAAAUGACCAAUUUGAAACUUCAAGAACAAAUGCACAAAUUCUACAAAUAAUGUGUAACGCUAAGAAUAAAUAAAUAUGCUAAUUAAGAUGUGAGUACUCAA